GGAUGUAAGGGCGAUCUGGCUGCGACAUCCGUCACCCAAUGGAUCUCCAGGGUUGAUUCGGCUGAUCUGGCUGGCGCUAGGCGGGUGUCCCCUUCCUCCCUCAACGAUCCGUGUGUGUGCGAAAGCUGCGCAGCUCUGUCGAAGAGGACGACCACCGCGAUAGAGAAGGAGCGUUCCUCGGUCAAGGGUGUAUGAGUAGUUGCACUCCCCUGCUAGAACCUCCCAACAAGCUCUCAAGAAAUCAGUGAGUUUGCUGGUGGUGCACCUCAGUGGUAGAGCACUGGCCUGGCAUGGGCAAGACCUUCAGCU
rnacentral:snRNA from 1 species